UUCAUCCAAAUACGAAGGACCAAAAAGUCUAUAAAUUCAAACACCAAACAACUACGAUUAAGUAUAGAUAUUCGGGUCUGAAAAUCAUUUUCACACUACGUCUUGCGCAACUAUAACUAAAAUCAUGAAUUUUGUUAUCGCGUUAUUGACUGUAGCACUAGUGGUUGCAAUUUUUCCCAGCCUAAAUCACGCCUCUUGGUUUUUCGGAUGUAAAAAUGCUACAUGUGUAUGUGCUGACGAUUGCACGAAGAAAGAUGCAGAGGCGGCUUGUAAAUAUCCCACAGAAAUAGAACCUAUAAAACUAGUAGUCUGUUCAGCAACGACAAAAUGCGAAUGCACUCACAAACACCGCUAUAUAAGCAGAAGAAACUGAUCGGUCGAAAAAAAAUGAUCAACUUGUAGUUUAAUGAUUUAAAAAAAAUGAUAAUCAACCUAUUUGAUAUGUUUAGAUAUUUUCAAUGUACCUAUAAUGAAAGACACUCGCGAGUAUUUUUUAUACUUAUUAAAAUUUCAUCCUUAUUA